rnacentral:rRNA from 1 species
GACAUAGGUCGCAAACGUUAUCCGGAAUUAUUGUGCGUAAAGGAUGCGUAGAUGGUUCAGUAAGUUACUGGUGGGAAAUCGAGGCUCAACCUCGUGGAAGUUAGUAAUACUGUUGAACUUGAGUGCAGGAGAGGUUAACGGAACUUCAUGUGGAGCGGUAAAAUGCGUAGAUAUAUUAAAGAACAUCAAUAUAGCGAAGGCAGUUAACUAUUCUGCUACUGACAUUGAGGCAUGAAAGCGUGGGGAGCAAAACGG